UACGGGGGGGCAAGCGUUGUUCGGAAUUACUGGGCGUAAAGGGCUCGUAGGCGGCCAACUAAGUCAGACGUGAAAUCCCUCGGCUUAACCGGGGAACUGCGUCUGAUACUGGAUGGCUUGAGGUUGGGAGAGGGAUGCGGAAUUCCAGGUGUAGCGGUGAAAUGCGUAGAUAAUCUGGAGGAACACCGGUGGCGAAGGCGGCAUCCUGGACCAAUUCUGACGCUGAGGAGCGAAAGCCAGGGGAGCAAACGGG
rnacentral:rRNA from 1 species